rnacentral:rRNA from 1 species
UACGUAGGGACCAAGCGUUGUUCGGAUUUACUGGGCGUAAAGGGCGCGUAGGCGGCAAUUCAAGUCAUCUGUGAAAUCUCCGGGCUUAACUCGGAACGGUCAGAUGAUACUGCUUUGCUAGAGUGCGGGAAGGGGCAAUCGGAAUUCUUGGUGUAGCGGUGAAAUGCGUAGAUAUCAAGAGGAACACCUGAGGUGAAGACGGGUUGUUGGGCCGACACUGACGCUGAAGCGCGAAAGCCAGGGGAGCAACGGGG